GCUGGCGGCAGGCCUAACACAUGCAAGUCGAGCGCACCUUCGGGUGAGCGGCGGACGGGUGAGUAACGCGUGGGAACGUGCCCUUCUCUGCGGAAUAGCCACUGGAAACGGUGAGUAAUACCGCAUACGCCCUUCGGGGGAAAGAUUUAUCGGAGAAGGAUCGGCCCGCGUCUGAUUAGGUAGUUGGUGGGGUAACGGCCUACCAAGCCUACGAUCAGUAGCUGGUUUUAGAGGAUGAUCAGCCACACUGGGACUGAGACACGGCCCAGACUCCUACGGGAGGCAGCAGUGGGGAAUCUUAGACAAUGGGCGCAAGCCUGAUCUAGCCAUGCCGCGUGAGUGAUGAAGGCCUUAGGGUCGUAAAGCUCUUUCGCCAGGGAUGAUAAUGACAGUACCUGGUAAAGAAACCCCGGCUAACUCCGUGCCAGCAGCCGCGGUAAUACGGAGGGGGUUAGCGUUGUUCGGAAUUACUGGGCGUAAAGCGCGCGUAGGCGGACUGAAAAGUUGGGGGUGAAAUCCCAGGGCUCAACCCUGGAACUGCCUCCUAAACUACUAGUCUAGAGUUCGAGAGAGGUGAGUGGAAUUCCAAGUGUAGAGGUGAAAUUCGUAGAUAUUUGGAGGAACACCAGUGGCGAAGGCGGCUCACUGGCUCGAUACUGACGCUGAGGUACGAAAGUGUGGGGAGCAAACAGGAUUAGAUACCCUGGUAGUCCACACCGUAAACGAUGAAUGCC
rnacentral:rRNA from 1 species